rnacentral:rRNA from 1 species
GACGAACGCUGGCGGCGUGCUUAACACAUGCAAGUCGAACGGAAAGGCCCUGCUUUGGGGGGUGGCUCAGUGGGCGAACGGGUGAGUACAACGGGGGUAACCUCCCCUGACCUUGGGGAUAACUCAGGGAAACGGGGGCAAUAACCGGUUAGGGGCUCUUGCUCCAGGGUGGGGGUUGGAAAGUUUCGGCGGUGGGGGAUGGACUCGGGGCUUACCAGCUUGUUGGGGGGGUAGUGGCUUACCAAGGCUUUGACGGGUAGCCGGCCUGAGAGGGUGACCGGCCACAUUGGGACUGAGAUACGGCCCAGACUCCUACGGGAGGCAGCAGUGGGGAAUAUUGCACAAUGGGCGGAAGCCUGAUGCAGCAACGCCGCGUGCGGGAUGACGGCCUUCGGGUUGUAAACCGCUUUCGCCUGUGACGAAGCGUGAGUGACGGUAAUGGGUAAAGAAGCACCGGCUAACUACGUG